AUUGAACGCUGGCGGCAGGCUUUACACAUGCAAGUCGGACGAGUGGCGGACGGGUGAGUAAUGUCUGGGAACCUACCUGAUGGUGGGGGAUAACUACUCGAAAGAGUGGCUAAUACCGCAUACCAUCAGAGGUGCCCAGAUGGGAUUAGCUAGUUGGUGGGGUAACGGCUUACCAAGGCGACGAUCGCUAGCUGGUCUGAGAGGAUGACCAGCCACACUGGGACUGAGACACGGUCCAGACUCCUACGGGAGGCAGCAGUGGGGAAUAUUGGACAAUGGGCGCAAGCCUGAUGCAGCCAUGCCGCGUGUAUGAAGAAGGCCUUCGGGUUGUAAAGGACUUUCAGCGGGGAAGCGUUACCCGCAGAAGAAGCACCGGCUAACUCCGUGCCAGCAGCCGCGGUAAUAC
rnacentral:rRNA from 1 species